ACUUCUAGAUUUGUACACUAUAAUGACAUAAAAGAUGGAAAAAUAAUAAUAAUAAUAAUCAAAAGCUUGCAGCAUCUGUGCACAAAAAUACUUAUUUAUUCUAUACGUUGAUAUUAUAUCUAUGUAUGUACAUACAUACAUAUGUGCGUUUGUAUGAAUUUGUAUAAGCAUUGCAUUUAUUUAUAUUUUGCUCAGCAAUAACAAAAAAAACAUUGACGUUAGCCCAAACAGACUUUGUUUAUUUUUAAAAGAAUGUGAAGGAAAUGCUGAAAAUUCGUUAACAAACACAUCAAACAAGAGCUCACGCACAUGUGCACGUACACACACACACACAGACAUAAUCAGGCAGUGUGACUCUAUAAAUAAGUAGGACGACAAAUUCAUAGUCCAGUAGCACGUGUAGCACGAGACUGACUCGCACCUUCUUCCGCUUACUUUUACUUCUGUGGUAAUCGGUAAAUUUAAAGUAGACAAGAAACCAAGUGACUCGCAUAGUAAAAGUAUGGAGGAGAUAAUUUGGUUUCUAAUAAUAUUGCUAUGGACACACUGACAUCAUUAUGUUUCGAUGGUGUCGCUUAUCUUUUGGCUGUCCAAUUAUGCCACUUUUGUGUGAAUGCGAUUAAUGCAAAUCGAUAAAUUAAACUCAUUAAUAGUUUGAUUGACUGGAAGCACUCAAACAUAUGUGUAGAUCGAGUAUACACGAUUAUUGACGGGGUUAAAUCUUACAAAUUGUCUACGAGUUAUCACCGAAGUCGGAUAAAGUCAAUUUAUAUGGUUUGUUGUUGUUGCUGUAAUUGAUGCGAACAGAUUAAACAAAUAUUUUGGCAUAAAACUCAGCUCAAGUCAGCUAAGCUAGUGACAAAAUAACAGUCAUUAAUUGUGGUGUUAUACAAUGAGUGUAGAGUCUGUACACACAUAUGGAUCUAUGUACUUUUCAAUUUAUAUGGCAAAUACAACUCCGAGUAUGCUUUUGCUGCGUGCUCUUACUAUACGAGUAGAAAAACAAUGUUGUUCACCUCAAAAGCCGCCAAGAACGUCAACAACUGAAACUUGGAUCGCACGUACACAGCAAAGUUGCUCGCAUGGCAUGGAGAGGGGUGGAAUGCUGUAGAAAGGGCGGCUGGAUUGUGUUCUUAAACGCUAUGAGGAGAGUCGAAGUCGAUGGCGAACGCUUGUAGUAAUAUGCAACACCUAUGCUGGCCAUGCGCUUGAUAAAGGCACUGAAACUGAUGAAACUAAUGUUGAUUCAACUUCGACGACGCAAAUCAAAAA